rnacentral:rRNA from 1 species
CCUACGGGAGACUGCAGUGGGGAAUAUUGCACAAUGGGGGAAACCCUGAUGCAGCGACGCCGCGUGAAGGAAGAAGGAUUUCGGUAUGUAAACUUCUGUCAGCAGGGAAGAAAAUGACGGUACCUGACUAAGAAGCCCCUGCUAACUACGUGCCAGCAGCCGCGGUAAUACGUAGGGGGCAAGCGUUAUCCGGAUUUACUGGGUGUAAAGGGAGCGUAGGCGGUUUAGCAAGUCAGAAGUGAAAGCCCGGGGCUCAACCCCGGGACUGCUUUUGAAACUGGUGAACUAGAGUGCAGGAGAGGUAAGUGGAAUUCCAAGUGUAGCGGUGAAAUGCGUAGAUAUAAGGAGGAACACCAGUGGCGAAGGCGGCUUACUGGACUGUAAAUGACGCUGAGGCUCGAAAGCGUGGGGAGCAAACAGGAUUAGAUACCCUGGUAGUC